rnacentral:rRNA from 1 species
AACGCGAAGAACCUUACCCAGACUUGACAUCGAUCGCAAGCUCUAGAAAUAGGGCCCUCUCCCACAAGGAGACGUGAAGACACUUGUUGCAUGGCUGUCGUCAGCUCGUGCCGUGAGGUGUACGGUUAAGUCCGCCAACGAGCGCAACCCUCGUUCUGUGUUACCAGCAUUAAAGAUGGGGACUCACAGGAGACCGCCGGUGUAAGCCGGAGGAAGGUGGGGAUGACGUCAAGUCAGCAUGGCAGUUACGUCUGGGGCUUCACACAUGCUACAAUGGAUGAAACAAAGGGCAGCGAUACCGCGAGGUGGAGCCAAUCCCAAAAAUACAUCCCCAGUUCAGAUUGCAGUCUGCAACUCGACUGCAUGAAGUCGGAAUCGCUAGUAAACGCAGGUCAGCUAUACUGCGUUGAAUACGUUCCCGGGCCUUGUACACACCGAGUAUA